GGUGGGGUAGUUUAAAAAAAUAUAAGUUUGUCAAUCUUAAGAUGUCUUUAUGAUUCCUGCCU
rnacentral:tRNA from 1 species